CUAAUACUCCUUCCGUCCGAAAAUACUGCCAUCAAAAUGGAUAAAAGGAAUGUAUCUAGACGUAUUUUAAUUCUAGAUAUAUUUUUUUUUCCAUCUUGAUGACAAGUAUUUUCGGACGAAGGGAGUAGUUU
rfam:Triticum urartu cultivar G1812 contig416451, whole genome shotgun sequence.